CUGCUGCCUUCCGUAGGAGUUUGGACCGUGUCUCAGUUCCAAUGUGGGGGACCUUCCUCUCAGAACCCCUAUCCAUCGAUGCCUUGGUGGGCCGUUACCCCGCCAACAAGCUAAUGGAACGCAUCUCCAUCGAUGACCGAAAUUCUUUAAUAGUUCUACCAUGCGGAAGAACUAUGCCGUCGGGUAUUAAUCUUUCUUUCGAAAGGCUAUCCCCGAGUCAUCGGCAGGUUGGAUACGUGUUACUCACCCGUGCGCCGGUCGCCAU
rnacentral:rRNA from 1 species